CCAGAAGCAAUGUCUCUCAACAAGACCUUACUCGCCAUUGCUGGAAGGUCAGCCCUUUUAUUUGUUCGUUACUGUAGCAAUCCCCGUCCUUAUCGUGCCCACUGGAUAGUGCGCCACCUAGCGAUUAGUCCUGGAGAAAUACGUCUGCAUUAUACCGCUCACAAUGUGACACGGUUAGACACCCCAAAUUGUUUUCAAGCUGCAUUGAAGAUUUCGAAUGUAUCUCCAGAAGAUGGAGGAGAAAUUUUGUUUUUUGUAAAGAACAGAAAAGGUAUCGACGAUGCAGUUGUCUUGCUAAACAUCACACAAGCUAGUUUCUCUGUAUCAGUGGGUUCUACGACUAUCUGGAGAGCUCAGGACGUCGUCUUAUUGAUCAUUGUUUCCCUACUACUUGUUGCUUGGACAGAAUUGUUUAGCUGCUUUCUUGGAAGUUGAUCAAAGACGAGAAAAUGAAUAAGUCAAGUCCAUCAAAGGCUGAGAAGUGAAACAAAAAAUAAAUCGGAGAGUGUGACCAAACUCAUCAAUAGGUUGUAAUAAGUGUUACCGUUAAACCACACUUAAAUAUCAUUUAGCUCUUCAUCGUUCUGGAAACUCUUCUCUGACAAACUCGCCGAAAGGAACUAACGAAGAGUACGUGUGUGACGAAGCAUAACAAUUUUGUUAAGGCUCACCUGUUUGUGCUUCAUAAUUAAAACUCAUCCACAAGUUUCACACUUGUUGUAAACAUCCAAAAGAAAAGAACGAAAUGGAUUCAGGUAUUUUGGUAAGAACACAUACACGAGGUUUCCACUUUUACUAGAACGAUGUUCUAUUGUGCCAGUUUUUUAGCAGCAGACAGAAACAAUAUUUCCACUUCUACUAGAAUGGUGUUCUGUUGAACUAAACUAUUAGCAGAAAGCAUAAACGAUAUUUCCACUUUUUUCUUGCAUGGUAUUCUGUUGUACUAGUCUGUUAGCAGCGAACACAUUCGUGAUUUCCUCUCUUACUAGCAUGUGUUAUGUUCAAACAGUCUGUUCGCAGAAAACAUAAACAAUAUUUCCACUUUUUUUGCAUGAUAUUCUGUUGAACUAUUAUGUUAGCAGAAAACAUAAACGAUAUUUCCAUUUUUUGGGGCAUGAUAUUCUCUUGAACUAUUACGUUAGCAACAUACAUAAACGAUAUUUCCAUUUUUUUGGCAUGAUAUUCUCUUGAACUAUUAUGUUAGCAGAAAACAUAAACGAUAUUUCCAUUUUUUGGGGCAUGA